rnacentral:rRNA from 1 species
UUCGCAUGGACGAAAGUCUGACGGAGCAACGCCGCGUGAGUGAUGAAGGCUUUCGAGGUCGUAAAACUCUGUUAGUUAGGGAAGAACAAGUGCUAGUUGAAUAAGCUGGCACCUUGACGGUACCUAACCAGAAAGCCACGGCUAACUACGUGCCAGCAGCCGCGGUAAUACGUAGGUGGCAAGCGUUAUCCUGGAAUUAUUGGGCGUAAAGCGCGCGCAGGUGGUUUCUUAAGUCUGAUGUGAAAGCCCACGGCUCAACCGUGGAGGGUCAUUGGAAACUGGGAGACUUGAGUGCAGAAGAGGAAAGUGGAAUUCCAUGUGUAGCGGUGAAAUGCGUAGAGAUAUGGAGGAACACCAGUGGCGAAUGCGACUUUCUGGUCUGUAACUGACACUGAGGCGCGAAAGCGUGGGGAGCAAACAGGAUUACAUACCCUGGUAGUCCACGCCGUAAACGAUGAGUGCUAAGUGUUAGAGGGUUUCCGCCCUUUAAUGCUGAAGUUAACGCAUUAAGCACUCCGCCUGGGGAGUACGGCCGCAAGGCUGAAACUCAAAGGAAUUGACGGGGCCCCGGCACAAGAG